CCCUUAGAUGUUCUGGGCCGCACGCGCGCUACACUGACGAAUGCAACGAGCUUAUAACCUUGGCCGAAAGGUCUGGGUAAUCUCCAAAUUUCGUCGUGAUGGGGAUAGAUUAUUUCAAUUAUUAAUCUUCAACGAGGAAUGCCUAGUAAGCGCAAGUCAUCAGCUUGCGUUGAUUACGUCCCUGCCCUUUGUACACACCGCCCGUCGCUCCUACCGAUUGAAUGGUCCGGUGAAGCGCUCGGACCGCGGCCUCUUGACGGUUCGCUGUCGAUUGGCUGUGGGAAGUUCGUUAAACCUUAUCAUUUAGAGGAAGGAGAAGUCGUAACA
rnacentral:rRNA from 1 species